GGCAAGGUCUGAAAGCUGCCACAAAGAAACAGAAGAGUAUGAUAAGAUAUGCGGGAAGAAGCUUUCAACACCCAUUGAAGUUUUAUGUAAAUCGCAUCCGGUGGAAUUUGGAUCUUACUUCCAUUACUGCCAUUCUUUGGCAUUUGAGCAAUGACCUGAUUAUGGAUUUCUGAAGCGCCUCUUUCAUGACUUGUUUAAUCGUGAAGGUUAUGAAUUUGAUUAUAUUUUUGACUGGACUAUUUUGAAAUAUCAGCAAACCCAGAGGACAAAUCUCAACCUCGAAUCUGUCCUGUCUAUGGUGGAAUGACUAGCCGGAUUAUUCCAAUGGAUGUUGACAAACAUCAAGUUACAAACCAGGUAGGACCAAGAAAUGAUGCACGUCCUACAGUUCAAAUGCAUUUCAAACUUUCAGCUGAUAAGAAUCUGGGUUCUGACAAUCAGGGACUUGAUAAGUUGAGGGUUGGAAUGAGCUCUGAAAACCCAAAAGUACCAUCUACAUCAUUUGCCUUUCCUGGAACCCCAAAUAAAAAUGUCACAAGUUCCAGACAAUCAGGGCCAACUGAUGCUUUGAGGCUCAGUUCAUCUAGUAGUUGGAUUCCUGUGCUACAGCGUAAUGCUUCAGCCAAGUGACUGGUAAUGCUUUCAACUGAAUUUGCUUGUGUUAAGUGUCCAAUCCUCAGGGUAGCAGACUUCUCUGGUUAUGUUCUUUAUUGGCUCUUUGGGCGUCGUUUCAUAUGGGUUGAGUCCAACAACCAAAUAGCAUAUGCUACCAAAGGUGGCUACAAAGUCGUCGUUGCUUAAGUUGCUUUGGGAUAUCAAGCGGCCUAGGGUAUUUCUAUUAGGGCGACUCCAAAUGCAAUUGUUUCUAAAAUGGUCCUUUAAGGGAAAUGAUUGAUGGUGUGUUGCAAAAUAACCUUUUUCUGGUCUAGAAAUUUGUCGAUAUGUUCAACUUGGAUGAUCCCAUAAAAUUGGCAUGUUCAAAUGUAUGUUAAAAGAUCAGAUCAUUCUUCUGAGAAAGAGUAUAGUGUAAUGAAAUAUGCUUUGUGGAUAUAUUUUUAUUUAUUCUUUGGCUCGUUCUGACCUGUGGGCAGCAAUCUGAAAUAAUUUUAGCAUUAGAUACUCAAAUCACUCGAGGAUUUGAACAGAGGACACUGGUCUAGUUUUUCAGAUUCUAGCCUCCUUUCUUUUUAUCAACAGCCUUGACCAGACAAACAGUUAUCACUGUAAGUUGAUCACUGUUACUAGCAUAGUCAAUGUGCAUAUUUCAUGUGUCAACGUGACAUCUAUUGGCUUAUCUAUAUUGUGUAUUUUUUGCCUCCAGAGCAUGAUUAUGUGAUGGUACAGAGCACUACCCAUUUGCUGUGAGGAUUCCCGAUCAAGUUCAUGUAGAAAUCUGUUUUCAGGAUGGAAAAAAUGGUGAGCAGGUUUUUCCACCGGUAUUUACCAGCAUAUGAUAGACUACUUUGAUGAAUCGAAAGGUAUUAUGACAAUUUCCUUCAAGCUAUAUUUUAGUUCUUUUAACAUGUUUUAUGUCAAUAUCAAGAAAAUAAUUAGCAGCUGUUGGAUAAACUUAUGGAUAAAUAAUAGGGAAAAUUUUAGUUCAUGUGAACAAUUAGUACGAAUGAAUUAAGAAGGCAUCGUUGCUCAUCGUGCAAAUGGUCGAUUUUGACACAAGCGCUAGGCUCUCUAGUGCUCCAAAAACAGCAAGGAACCACCAUGCUGCUUUUGACUUGAAAUGUCAUUCUGAUCCUGGAAGGCGUAGAGAUUGUUGUACUCUUAUUCUGCAAGAUAUUUGACCAAACAUGAAGACUAUAAUAUUGUGUGAAUGGAGUCUUUGGAUAAGUGACCAGGGUGCCUAGGCUGGGCCACAGCGUUGGUAGAGCCACAUAGUUGAGCCUUGGUGCCAACAAGUCUGACUACACUCGGGUUGGGUUUCACCAAUUCAAUUUUUGCUUGAUUCAAUUGUCUGACUACACUCGGGUUGGGUUCCACCAAUUCAAUUUUGGCUUGAUUCAAUUGUCUGACUACACUCGGGUUGGGUUCCACCAAUUCAGUUUUGGCUUGAUUCAAUUGUCUGACUACACUCGGGUUGCGU